rnacentral:rRNA from 1 species
GUGAGGAAUAUUGGUCAAUGGGCGCAAGCCUGAACCAGCCAUGCCGCGUGCAGGAAGACGGUCCUAUGGAUUGUAAACUGCUUUUAUUUGGGAAUAAACUCCGGUACGUGUACCGGCCUGAAGGUACCAAAUGAAUAAGCACCGACUAACUCCGUGCCAGCAGCCGCGGUAAUACGGAGGGUGCAAGCGUUAUCCGGAAUCAUUGGGUUUAAAGGGUCCGCAGGCGGUCUUAUAAGUCAGUGGUGAAAGCCUACAGCUCAACUGUAGAACUGCCAUUGAUACUGUAGGACUUGAAUUCGAUCGAAGUGGGCGGAAUGUGACAUGUAGCGGUGAAAUGCUUAGAUAUGUCACAGAACACCGAUAGCGAAGGCAGCUCACUAGGUCUGGAUUGACGCUCAGGGACGAAAGCGUGGGGAGCAAACAGGAUUAGAAACCCUGGUAGUCC